AUUGAACGCUGGCGGCAGGCUUAACACAUGCAAGUCGAGCGGGGGAAGGUAGCUUGCUACCGGACCUAGCGGCGGACGGGUGAGUAAUGCUUAGGAAUCUGCCUAUUAGUGGGGGACAACAUCUCGAAAGGGAUGCUAAUACCGCAUACGUCCUACGGGAGAAAGCAGGGGAUCUUCGGACCUUGCGCUAAUAGAUGAGCCUAAGUCGGAUUAGUUAGUUGGUGGGGUAAAGGCCUACCAAGGCGACAAUCUGUAGCGGGUCUGGGAGGAUGAUCCGCCACACUGGGACUGAGACGCGGCCCAGACUCCUACGGGAGGCAGCAGUGGGGAAUAUUGGACAAUGGGGGGAACCCUGAUCCAGCCAUGCCGCGUGUGUGAAGAAGGCCUUAUGGUUGUAAAGCACUUUAAGCGAGGAGGAGGCUACUUUAGUUAAUACCUAGAGAUAGUGGACGUUACUCGCAGAAUAAGCACCGGCUAACUCUGUGCCAGCCGCCGCCGUAA
rnacentral:rRNA from 1 species